GUGAGGAAUUUUCCGCAAUGGGCGAAAUCCUGACGGAGCAAUGCCGCGUGAAGGAUGAAGGCCUAUGGGUUGUAAACUUCUUUUCUCAGAAAAGAAUUAUGACGGUAUCUGAGGAAUAAGCAUCGGCUAACUCUGUGCCAGCAGCCGCGGUAAGACAGAGGAUGCAAGCGUUAUCCGGAAUGAUUGGGCGUAAAGCGUCUGUAGGUUGUUUAAAAAGUAUUCUGUCAAAGAUUAGGGCUUAACCCUAGAUAGGCAGAAUAAACUUUUAAGCUAGAGUUUGGUAGAGGCAGAGGGAAUUCCCGGUGGAGCGGUGAAAUGCGUAGAUAUCGGGAGGAACACCAAAGGCGAAGGCACUCUGCUGGGCCAAUACUAACACUGAGAGACGAAAGCGAGGGGAGCAAAUGGGAUUAGAAACCCGUGUAGUCC
rnacentral:rRNA from 1 species